rnacentral:RNase_P_RNA from 2 species
AAUUUGAAUCAACUGCUAUAUUUGAAAAAUGAUAUAGAGGAAACUCCACGCUUGCACAUUCUGAGAUGAAUGUAGUGUUUGUGCUAAAGGAAAAAAUAACUUUAGGUACCAAUUUAUUGGUAACGACUUAGGCAUAAUCUAAGGGUACUUGUACCUAUGAUGAGCUUUUUAAAGUGCCACAGAGACGAUUAACUAGAAAUAGUGAAAUGGAACGGGUAAACUCCACAAGCAAGAAACUCAAAUUUUGGUAGAGGAGCUUAAAGGUGAGGAAUUGAACAAGCCUUUGGGAUCGCUAAAUGCGAUAGAUAGAUAGUUGAUGCACGUAAGUGUUACAAAACGUGGGUUAUGAUA